AUGGGUCUUGGAGUUUUCUUAUUCCUGGAGC
rnacentral:piRNA from 1 species